GUGGGGAAUUUUGCGCAAUGGACGAAAGUCUGACGCAGCGACGCCGCGUGGGGGAUGAAGGUCUUCGUGAUUGUAAACCCCUGUCAGGAAGGAUUAAAUGUACGGGCGUUAACACCGCCUGUACUUGACUUAACUUCCAGAGGAAGCCCCGGCUAACUACGUGCCAGCAGCCGCGGUAAUACGUAGGGGGCAAGCGUUACUCGGAUUUACUGGGCGUAAAGAGAGUUAAGGCGGCUGAGUAAGUCGGAGGUGAAAUCCCUCGGCCUAACCGAGGAACUGCCUUCGAUACUGCUUGGCUUGAGGACAGGAGAGGAAAGUGGAAUUCCCGGUGUAGCGGUGGAAUGCGUAGAUAUCGGGAGGAACACCAGAGGCGAAGGCGGCUUUCUGGACUGCUCCUGACGCUGAUACUCGAAAGCUAGGGGAGCAAACAGGAUUAGAUACCCGAGUAGUCC
rnacentral:rRNA from 1 species